rnacentral:rRNA from 1 species
GUUAUCCGGAAUGAUUGGGCGUAAAGCGUGCGCAGGUGGCAAUGUAAGUCUGCUGUCAAAGCGUCUGGCUCAACCAGAUAAAGGCAGUGGAAACUACAUAGCUAGAGUAAGGUAGGGGUAGAGGGAAUUCCUGGUGUAGCGGUGAAAUGCGUAGAGAUCAGGAAGAACACCGGUGGCGAAAGCGCUCUGCUGGACCUUAACUGACACUGAGGGACGAAAGCUAGGGGAGCGAAUGGG